rnacentral:rRNA from 1 species
AGGACGAACGCUGGCGGCGUGCUUAACACAUGCAAGUCACGGGGGCCCGCAAGGGCAACCGGCGAACGGGUGCGUAACACGUGAGCAAUCUACCGAUUUCUGGGGGAUAGCCGGCCCAACGGCCGGGUAAUACCGCAUACGCUCGUUGAGAGGAGUCUCUCGGCGAGGAAACCUCCGGGGGAAAUCGAGGAGCUCGCGGCCUAUCAGCUAGUUGGCGGGGUAACGGCCCACCAAGGCGAUGACGGGUAGCUGGUCUGAGAGGAUGGCCAGCCACAUUGGGACUGAGAAACGGCCCAGACUCCUACGGGAGGCAGCAGUGGGGAAUCUUGCGCAAUGGCCGAAAGGCUGACGCAGCGACGCCGCGUGUGGGAGGACGCCCUUCGGGGUGUAAACCACUGUUGCCCGGGACGAACAUCCUCUUUCGAGAGGACUGACGGUACCGGGUGAGGAAGCACCGGCUAACUCCGUGCCAGCAGCCGC